CCUUCCUUUUGCACAUACCAGUCACCUGUUGGCAAAUGGAGGUGGUUUACCCUUGUGUCUCAAGCUUUUUGCAGCUCCCCUCCAAUCCUCCACAUCAAUAUAUAUUUAGCCCCCUAUAAUACAUGAAGCCCUAUUGCAAGCUGGCAGUUCCCACUGCCAUUCCCUUUGUGCCAGAGGCCUUCUUCACAGCCAGGGGUGAGGCCUGCAUUCUCGUUUUUAUCUUCAAACUGUAAAAGGUGCGAGUGUGGUGGUUUUCAGGAUGUCUGCCACCACAGCAUCUGCAUUGCAUUUUUUUUUUCUCCUCCCUUCCUUAUUUACUUUAUUUGUGCUGUGCAUUUGGAGUGGGUGAUUUUUAGGUGGAGGUAAUGGUGGUUGACUUCAGUCGAUUUCCCAGCCUGCCUCAAUCUCCCUUCCCC